rnacentral:other from 1 species
AAGUUACUGCUAAGUGCGUGAAGCGGGAACGAUGAAUUGGACCAACACGAUAAAAUAGGGAAUCUAACUUUGACGUUUUCUUUAUGGGAACGGCAAGAGGGUACCCACCUGGGAAACCAGGUCUCAAUUCUCUUUCUGCGCACGGCUUGUCGGGGUAGGGCC